AUUGAACGCUGGCGGCAGGCCUAACACAUGCAAGUCGAACGAGUGGCGGACGGGUGAGUAAUGUCUGGGAACCUGCCUGAUGGAGGGGGAUAACUACUGGAAACUGUAUCUAAUACCGCAUACCAUCAGAUGUGCCCAGCUGGGUUUGGCUUGUUGGUGGGGUAACGGCUCCCCAAGGCGACUAUCCCUAUCUGGUCUGAGAGGAUGACCGGCCACACGGGAACUGAGACACGGUCCAGACUCCUACGGGAGGCAGCAGUGGGGAAUAUGGCACAAUGGGCGCAAGCCUGAUGCAGCCAUGCCGCGUGUAUGAAGAAGGCCUUCGGGUUGUAAAGUACUUUCAGCGGGGAGGCGUUACCCGCAGAAGAAGCACCGGCUAACUCCGUGCCAGCAGCCGCGGUAAUAC
rnacentral:rRNA from 1 species